ACCUGGCUGGCUCAGUCAGUAGAGCCUGUGACUCUCGAUCUCAGGGUUGUGAGUUCAAGCCCCACAUUGGGUG
rfam:Felis catus isolate Cinnamon breed Abyssinian chromosome B3, whole genome shotgun sequence.